UUAAGAUUUUAUUUUUAAGUAACCUGUACACCCAAUGUGGAGCUUGAACCUGCAACCUGGAGAUCAAGAGUCACAUGCUCUACCGACUGAGUCAUCCAGGCGCCCCAUAUUGUGAACUUCUGUGGCAAUGGGUUCUAUGCAGGAAGUGCUGGGACUCAAAGCACAGGUGGAGAAACUGACCUUGGAUAGGAAGAGAGACAUCUCUUCUAUUGCAACAAGAGGAAAAGAGGCCAGGAUGAUAGACAUAGAUUUUCCAGCACUUCCUGUAACAGUAAAAACUUUAGGAAGGUUCCUUACCACCUUAUUGAUGAAGAUUUGGAAGUAGUCUUUGUUCUGGUUCUUCUUGCUGCUCUCCCUGACAUUAACAGCUAGAGUACACUUUGAAGAAAUUUGAGAUGGAAAUUGGGUUUCUCAAAAGUGCUUUGAGGCUGGCCAGAAGCAUUUUUACUUGAGCUGCUAUGUCCUAUGCUCAGAAUACAGCACAUGAUGGCCUAUGAUGAAGCUGUCAUCCAUAGCAUGCUCAGCCAUUAAUAUGUCACCAUUCUAAAAUAAAAAUCAAACCUGAACUCUGUAACUGAUUGGUCUUCAUCUCCUCUAAGGAAUAAAGACAAACAUUAAUGAUUCACUUCCAUUUACAGCAUUCCUACAUUGUAAAAAGGCACAGUAGUCUUUAAAGUAUUUAAUUAAAAGUGAUAAUGUAACACAUUCUCAUGCAAAAAAAAAAUCAAACUGGUGUAAAGUGGGAAAAAAAAGUAAAAGUACCUUUCCCCUUCCCCAAUAUUAUUACUCUGAAUUUUAAUAGGUAUUUCCAAAAUGCCUUCUAAAAGCUUUGUACUUAUUUACAUCCCACUAUUCUUGAAACCUGUU